ACUCCUUCACCGGAAUUUACCUAACGACCGCUGACGAAAUUCUCCGACCUCCAUUAAAGGAUCAAAAUUCAGCAAGGAGAUGAGAAAUCGAAAAUCACGAAGGAUAACGUUCAUCCUACUAUGCCUCGCUCUUCUUCCAAUUACACUCGGCCGCCAAUUGGUGCUUGUCCUCUCUCAGGAAGACCUUAAAGAAGCAGCCGCUGAUUCUAUAAACCUCGUCGAUGACCCGUCGGAUACUGGAUUCGAUGAUUUUAUUGACUCCGAAGCUAAGCCGGAUUAUGUGCUUGAUCCGGGUUCAUGGAGCCCCAUUUUCGAGCCCGCUACUGCGCCGCAAGUUCACCUUGAACAUGAAGGCGAAUACUACUCUUCGGUUAGUAAGAUAGUGAAGGCAUAUAGUAGAGGCGAUGAAAGGGCGAUGGAGAAGGCGGCGUCUGAGAUCGAGGCGGCUGCCUCAGCUGGCCACCCCCACGCGCAGUCUAUUUUGGGCUUUCUGUAUGGAAUGGGGAUUGGAAGAGAGAGGAGCAAAGCUAAGUCUUUUCUGUACCACCAUUUUGCUGCCGAAGGCGGUAAUAUGCAAUCCAAAAUGGCACUUGCUUAUACUUAUUCUCGCCAAGAGAUGCAUGAUAAAGCUGUGAAAUUGUAUGCCGAAUUGGCAGAGGUAGCCAUUAACAGUUUCCUGAUAUCAAAGG
rnacentral:misc_RNA from 1 species